GACGAACGCUGGCGGCGUGCCUAAUACAUGCAAGUCGAGCGAAGUUUUUCUGGUGCUUGCACUAGAAAAACUUAGCGGCGAACGGGUGAGUAACACGUAAAGAACCUGCCUCAUAGACUGGGACAACUAUUGGAAACGAUAGCUAAUACCGGAUAACAGUAUUUCUCGCAUGAGAGAUAUUUAGAAGUUGGUUAUGCUAACACUAUGAGAUGGCUUUGCGGUGCAUUAGCUAGUUGGCGGGGUAAAGGCCCACCAAGGCGACGAUGCAUAGCCGACCUGAGAGGGUGAUCGGCCACACUGGGACUGAGACACGGCCCAGACUCCUACGGGAGGCAGCAGUAGGGAAUCUUCCGCAAUGGGCGAAAGCCUGACGGAGCAACGCCGCGUGAGUGAAGAAGGAGUUCGGUUCGUAAAGCUCUGUUGUUAGGGAAGAAUGGAUAUGUAGUAACUAUACAUGUAAGAGACGGUACCUAACCAGAAAGCCACGGCUAACUACGUG
rnacentral:rRNA from 1 species